rnacentral:rRNA from 1 species
UCCUACGGGGGGCAGCAGUAGGGAAUUUUCGUCAAUGGGCGCAAGCCUGAACGAGCAAUGCCGCGUGAACGAGGAAGGUCUUCGGAUCGUAAAGUUCUGUUGAAGGGGAAAAAGAGCGGAGAGAGGAAAUGGUCUCCGAUUGAUAUUACCCUUCGAGGAAGUCACGGCUAACUACGUGCCAGCAGCCGCGGUAAUACGUAGGUGGCGAGCGUUAUCCGGAAUGAUUGGGCGUAAAGGGUGCGUAGGCGGCCUGCUAAGUCUGGAGUGAAAGGUACCGGCUCAACCGGUACAGGCUCUAGAAACUG